rnacentral:rRNA from 1 species
GAUGAACGCUAGCGGCAGACUUAAUACAUGUGAGUCGAGGGGCAGCGGAUCCCUCCGGGGAUGCCGGCGACCGGCGAACGGGUGAGUAACACGUAUGGAAUCUACCCUUAACUGGGGAAUAGCCUUGAGAAAUCGAGGGUAAUGCCCCAUACCAUCUUGAAAAGGCAUCUUUUCUAGAUGAAAGCUCCGGCGGUUAAGGAUGGCCAUGCGCUCCAUUAGCUUGUUGGUGAGAUAACCGCUCACCAAGGCCGCGAUGGAUAGCUGAUCUGAGAGGAUGAUCAGCCACAUUGGCACUGAGACACGGGCCAAACUCCUACGGGAGGCAGCAGUAGGGAAUCUUGGUCAAUUGGCGAAAGCCAGAACCAGUCAUGCCGCGUGCAGGAUGAAGGCCCUACGGGUCGUAAACUGCUUUUAUUCGGGAAGAAAAAGUCUGUUUCCACAGACCUUGACGGUACCGAUUGAAUAAGGACCGGCCAACUCCGUGCCAGCAGCCGCGGUAAUACGGAGGGUCCAAGCGUUAUCCGGAUUCACUGGGUUUAGAGGGUGCGCAGGCGGCCAAGUAAGUCAGUGGUGAAAGCCUUCGGCUCAACCGGAGAAUUGCCAUUGAAACUACUUGGCUUGAGUGCAGUAGAGGUAGGCGGAAUGUAGCAUGUAGCGGUGAAAUGCAUAGAUAUGCUACAGAACACCGAUAGUGAAAGCAGCUUACCACACUGUAACUGACGCUGAGGCACGAAAGCAUGGGUAGCAAACAGGAUUAGAUACCCUGGUAGUCCACGCCGUAAACGAUGAACGCUCGCCGUUGCCCCGCUCAAGGGGCAGUGGCUAAGUUAACGCGUUAAGCGUUCCACCUGGGGAGUACGAUCGCAAGGUUGAAACUCAAAGGAAUUGACGGGGGCCCGCACAAGCGGUGGAGCAUGUGGCUCAAUUCGAUGCAACGCGAAGAACCUUACCUAGGCUCGAACGCUAGAGGACCGCUCCUGAAAGGGAGCUUCCCCUUUGGGGCCUCUAGCGAGGUACUGCAUGGCUGUCGUCAGCUCGUGUCGUGAGAUGUUGGGUUAAGUCCCGCAACGAGCGUAACCCCUGUUGCUAGUUACCAUCGGGUAGUGCCGGGGACUCUAGCGAAACUGCCUGCGCAAGCAGUGAGGAAGGUGGGGAUGACGUCAAGUCAUCAUGGUCCUUACGCCUAGGGCUGCACACGUGCUACAAUGGCCGGUACAACGGGUAGCCACCUCGCGAGAGGGAGCGAAUCCCUGAAAACCGGUCCCAGUUCGGAUUGGAGUCUGCAACUCGACUCCAUGAAGCAGGAAUCGCUAGUAAUCGCGGAUCAGCAAUGCCGCGGUGAAUCCGUUCCCGGGCCUUGUACACACCGCCCGUCAAGCCAUGGAAGCUGAGAGCACCCGAAGUCCGUGACUCAACUCCGGCCUUGUGCCGGAGAGAGAGCGGCCGAAGGUGAGCUCAGUGACUGGGGCU